CUUGGUGCCUCACUGUGGCAAGACGACCCGCUAGACUUAAGCAUAUUAAUCAGCGGAGGAAAAGAAACUAACUAGGAUUCCCUCAGUAACUGCGAGUGAAGCGGGAUGAGCUCAAUGUGUGAAUUGGCCAGGGGUAGCCCUCUGUGUCCGAGUUGUGCACUAAGGACACUCUGUCGGCAGGGCUUGGGGCGGAAGUGCCAAUGAAACAUGGCAUCAGAGAGGGUCAUAGUCCCGUGCUUGCCCAAUCCAAGCCUGUGUGCAGCGAGGAGUGCUCCACGAGUCGCAUAGUUUGGUAAUGCUAUGCCAAGUGGGAGGUAGAGCCCUUCUAAAGCUAAAUAUGAUGACGUGACCGAUAGUUCACAAGUACCGCGAGGGAAAGGUGAAAGUAACCAUGUAGAAUGGGUUGAAAGAGAAGUGAAAGUGCUACCGGGAUAAGGGCAUGCGACGGCUGGUGUCUGUGGGGCGUGCUUCANGCUGCCUUCCAGAACGGUGUGCGGCGCGUCUGAUGGGGAGACAAGGCCGUUUGGGAAUGUGGCUCAUCCUUCGGGUGAGUGUAUAGCCCAGGUGUGCAGAGGACCUCAAGGCGCGUGCGAACUG
rnacentral:rRNA from 1 species